rnacentral:sRNA from 1 species
GCCAGGCAUAGUGGCACAUGCCUGUAAUCCCAGCAUCUUGGAGGCUGAGAUAGGAGGAUUUCAAGUUCAAAGCCAGCCUCAGCAACUGCAAGGCACUAAGCAACUCAGCGAAACCGUGUCUCUA